rnacentral:rRNA from 1 species
UAAUACAGAGGUCUCAACCGUUGUUCGGAUUCAUUGGGCGUAAAGGGUGCGUAGGCGGUCGCGCAAGUCGGAUGUGAAAUCUCGGGGCUCAACCCCGAAACUGCAUUCGAUACUGCGUGGCUCGAGUACUGGAGAGGAGACUGGAAUUUACGGUGUAGCAGUGAAAUGCGUAGAUAUCGUAAGGAAGACCAGUGGCGAAGGCGAGUCUCUGGACAGUUACUGACGCUGAGGCACGAAGGCCAGGGGAGCAAACGG